CCUUGCACCCCACGGAAGGAAGCACCAUUGUCCACGGGGCAGCUCCCCGCUUCCCCAAACUGCCACCCUCCCAUGGUGGAAAUGGGAAAUAGAAAUGGCUUCAAAAGCCAGGCACUGGUGUCUCGCGCCUGUAAUCCUAACUACAAUGGAGGCUGAGAUCUGAAGAGCUCACGUUGAAGCCAGCCUAGGCAGGAAAGUCCAUGAGACUGUUACCUCCAA